rnacentral:lncRNA from 1 species
GCGGCGGGUUAAAAUACAAAGAUUACAUUGUAUUAUAUGUACAAAAUGUACACACAAAAACACACACAGUACACUUCAAAACGUGAAAAUUAAUAAUAUAUACAUUGAACUAUAGUUGCAGGUUCGUAAAGGAUGCUCUGAAACAGCAAAUGGAAAUGGAACAAGAACAACACGUCCUUGGCGUAUGCAAAAUGUCCUGCAAAUUGCAAAAGGAGCUUCAAGGGACAAUCAUUUAAUUCAUACAUGAACAACAGAAUGCAUUUAGUAUUGAACCUUUAAUACAGUAUUGUAGUAAAUAUGUAAUAUAAAUCAUAAUUGAUUAAGUUGAAUUUGUACUCAGUUGAUAACAUACUAAUCCAUACAAUCUAUUUCGAAUGAAUAUAUGCAAAAAAAAAUCUGAAUCGAAUAAACUAAAUAAUGUUCAUAUAUGUCCGUUUUUUUCUUAUGUCAAAUAAAACAAACAAACACACCUGCCGUUAUUUAUAUUACAUACGAAUAGAAUAUUUUCUUGCGUGUUAAAAUAAAUUCCAAAAAUAGCCUAUUCAAUCAAUUUUAUUUAGUUAA